rnacentral:rRNA from 1 species
UACGGAGGGUGCGUAGCGUUAAUCGGAAUUACUGGGCGUAAAGCGCAUGCAGGUGGUUUGUUAAGUCAGAUGUGAAAGCCCGGGGCUCAACCUCGGAAUUGCAUUUGAAACUGGCAAACUAGAGUACUGUAGAGGGGGUAGAAUUUCAGGUGUAGCGGUGAAAAUGCGUAGAGAUCUGAAGGAAUACCGGUGGCGAAGGCGGCCCCCUGGACAGAUACUGACACUCAGAUGCGAAAGCGUGGGGAGCAAACAGGAUUAGAUACCCUGGUAG